rnacentral:rRNA from 1 species
GCGGCGAACGGGUGAGUAACACAUCGGAACGUACCCUGUCGUGGGGGAUAACGAAUCGAAAGAUUCGCUAAUACCGCAUACGACCUGAGGGUGAAAGCGGGGGAUCGCAAGACCUCGCGCGAGAGGAGCGGCCGAUGUCGGAUUAGCUAGUUGGUGAGGUAAAGGCUCACCAAGGCGACGAUCCGUAGCGGGUCUGAGAGGACGGCCCGCCACACUGGGACUGAGACACGGCCCAGACUCCUACGGGAGGCAGCAGUGGGGAAUUUUGGACAAUGGGGGCAACCCUGAUCCAGCCAUUCCACGUGAGUGAAGAAGGCCUUCGGGUUGUAAAGCUCUUUCGGCAGGAACGAAACGGUGGAGGCUAAUAUCCUUCAUCAAUGACGGUACCUGAAGAAGAAGCACCGGCUAACUACGUGCCAGCAGCCGCGGUAAUACGUAGGGUGCGAGCGUUAAUCGGAAUUACUGGGCGUAAAGCGUGCGCAGGCGGUUUUGUAAGACAGAUGUGAAAUCCCCGGGCUUAACCUGGGAACUGCGUUUGUGACUGCAAGACUUGAGUGCGGCAGAGGGGGGUGGAAUUCCACGUGUAGCAGUGAAAUGCGUAGAGAUGUGGAGGAACACCGAUGGCGAAGGCAGCCCCCUGGGUCGACACUGACGCUCAUGCACGAAAGCGUGGGUAGCAAACAGGAUUAGAUACCCUGGUAGUCC